AGAAUCACUAUCUACUAUUGUCUUCCAUAACGUUCACUGAGAGAUGGGUUGAGAGCCUUUGAAGAUGAAAAUGAUUACGUAUGUUUUCUUGAUGUUGGAUAUGAGAAUGGGGGAAGGAUUAAUUUGUACAUUAAUCACUCUCGGGAGGUAGUUAUGGAGUGAAUUGAAGAAGAGAUAGCUAAAGAUGGAUUGUUGUUGGAUUAGGUGUCUAAGCCCAUAACUAUAAUUGGUAUGUACUUGAAUUGAUAUCAGCACAGUCCUUUUGGGUUGCCCUCAAACCUAGCAAUUGGACAAGGAAAUUAUGAAAGGUGAGAUAUUGAUUUAUUAUAAGAUUAAUAAAUUAAUAUAAAUGAUUUAUUAAUAUGUUAAAAGAUUAAUAUAUUAAUUAGAAAUCAUAAUGUUUAAUUAAUAGUUAGCCAGAAAUUAAUCAGAAUUAAUUUUAGGGUUAAAAGUAUUAAUUAUAAAGUGCAGGGACUAGUUUGCAAUUAUCAGAUAGUUGAGUGGAAGGCUCCAGAACCUCCUUGGAGGGAGGUGGACGAAAUAUAUAGGGGAAACCUUAAGGAUUUCGUCCAAGGGGCUUUGGAUAAGGCCUUUGGAUUAGCUUAGACCCCAAGCAAAGGAGUAUUAGGGUUUUUCCAAAACCCUAGAUCCCUCAGCUAUAUAAGGAGCCUCCCAGCUCUUAAAUUCGGCCACUCCUACCUUGGAAGAAACCCUAUGCCGAUUUUUGCAUACCCUACCCUCUCCCCUUCAAGUUUCCUUCUUGCUAGUUCUUGGGUGUGAUUCCAUUAGAGGCAUUACAUUUGUGGUGCUAGGCUUCUAAGAAGAUCAAGUUCAAGAGGAUUAUCAAUCGUUUACUACAACAAUUGAAAGAUGUCUACUCCUGGAAACACUUCUUCUUCAUCAUCCUCCAGCCACAACUUCUCUUUACUCUACAUUUGCUCCAAAGUCGUUAUGGAUGGCUCUAACUAUAAUGAUUGGAUGCGUAACAUCAAAAUGGUGCUUCGAUUUGAGGACAAAGAAUAUGUCCUUGAAAAGGAGCUCAAAGAACUUGAUGAAUCCAAAGCCACUCCCGAAGACUAUGUCGCUUACAAGAAGCACUAUGAUGAUGCUACCAAAGUGGCGUGCAUCAUGGUCGCAACCAUGUCCCCAAAACUGCAAAUGUACUAUGAGGACUACUGGCCUUUUGAGAUGAAAAAGGACCUUACGGAAAAGUACCAUAAGCGAGCUCGUCAAGAAAAGUUUGAAGUAGUCAAGUCACUCAUGGCUUGCAAGAUGAAAGAAGGGGAGUCGGUUGUAUCUCAUGUGCAAAGAAUGCAACGCUACAUAGAGCGUUUGGUCAAGCUCAACAUUCACUUUGAUGAGGAAUUGGCCAUUGACAUGGUCUUGAACUCAUUGCCCGAUUGUUAUGGUCAUUUUAUCCUAACUUACCAUUUGAACAACACUGAGCAAACACUGGCCCAAUUGCACAACUUGUUGCAGACUGCUGAAGCAGGGAUGAAGGGUAAAACUAUAACCUCCACUCCUGCAAGUGCUCCUAUCUUAGCUAUUGGACAGGGAAAGGGGAAAAAGAGGAAAGGUCCUCCUAAGCAAAAUUGGAAGGGAAAGGUCCAAGUUGGGUCAUCUAGCAGUGGCCCAAAGGCUAAUCCCAAUAUUGUCAUUCCCCAUGUUUCUGAUCCAAAGGAUGCUAUUUGCUUUUAAUGCAAUAAAAGGGCAUUGGAAGAGAACCUACCCACAAUAUCCGCAGGAUAUCAAAGAGGGCAAAGUGAGGCCAUCUUCGGCAGGGGCUAAAGGAAAGUGAGGAGAUAGAGCGAGGAAGGAUAAACUUGAUCAUGGGAAACAAGAAGUCUUCACUAGUGACCAAGAUCGGAGUUUAUCAACUUUUGCUUAGUAAUGAUGUUAGAUUAGAUUUAUUGAAUUGUUGCUAUUCGUCUGAGAUGACGAAAAACAUUAUUUCAUUUCAUGAAUUGUUUAGACAAGGUUUC